GGUGAACGCUGGCGGUGCGCCUAAUACAUGCAAGUCGAGCGAGAAAUUGGAUUUAUUCAAUGGAAAGCGGCGGACGAGUGAGUAACACGUAAGAACCUGCCCUGUACUCAGGGAUAACUGCCCGAAAGGGUGGCUAAUACCGGAUGGUCCCGAAAGGGUAAAGAUUUAUCGGUACGGGAGGGGCUUGCGGUCUAUCAGCUUGUUGGUGGGGUAAAAGCCCACCAAGGCUCUGACGGAUAGCUGGUGUGAGAGCAUGACCAGCCACGAUGGGACUGAGACACGGCCCAU
rnacentral:rRNA from 1 species